UCGCCUGCGGCUCCCCUCGGGGCGGCACUUUAUUUGCAAAGCGGCGUAAUUGGUUUAAGCUUGCGGGGAAAGAAGGAGAGACGGAGGUGGGAGAGAGGAGGGAGGAAGCCCCCCCCCCCCCUCAUAGACGGACAGGACAAGCUUUAGGAGGGCUCACUGGAAAUGAAAUGAGGUAGAUAAGGAAAGGGCAGCCCCCUCUGUUUGAAUAGAAUGCUAAAGGCCAUCCAGCCCUAAAACCCCGAGAUUAGGGGCCAUAUUUACUGAAGUCCAGUAGAUGCUCCUCUAACAGAAUGGCCGGGAAAUCCUCGCACGCUCCCCCUGUUCCUCCCGUCAAGGAAUCAUGAGUCACCGUGGUGAGCUGUAACACUCUAGACACCCAAUAAAUGCGGACAGAGACUUGAAUGCGGAUCCACCGAGGUCAGCCUCUGCCUGACAAACACCAGGCAUCAUUCAGCACACAAGUAUCGACUUGAUACAUUCCUGACAUGGAAAAAAAAUACGUUGCCCAUACCCGUAAACCCUCACAUAUCACAUCCCGGUUAAAGGAGAAAGAAGCACAAGUAACGAAAUGAAAAGCUACCUAUAACCUACUGUCUGACUGCAACAGAAAUCGGAGUAAGGAAGCCCCCGGGUUUGGCUUACUUUUUUCUUCAGUGCAACAAUACAAUUCUUAAGCAGGUAAAUCACACCCCGGUGUAUUCAGUCACUUCAUUUUUGCUAAUAAAGCUGUGGGCUUGCAGAACUUGUGCUAGCAGGAUGCCCAUCCUGCUGUGUUGUUGGCAAAGUCUGUUUUACUCUUCAUAAAAAUAAAUGCAUUUCAUGCUUCUCACUUAGAUCAAGAACAACCAUAUUGUAUGCGUUUCAAAUGAUAGGUGUUUUAUUUAUGCUACAUUUCCUGAAACAUGAGUGGCAAUGCUUCUGUUGUUUAUUUCCAUCAGUGUACCAAUUCUGAUGCAGUCACAGACCCUUUUUGAAAGUUUUCUUUGCAAAUUUUUUUUAAACAACCGUCUUUUGUUUUGAAGUAACAGCAGUAAUACAGCGUAGAAGAAACAGUAUCAGAGGGGAUGGGACUACACAGAGGUAAGUAAGUAUACUUCAGUGGCGCCCACUUUGUAGUCUCACACAAACAGAAAAAUGAAUUUUUUAAAACAUACACAAACUUCUGUAAUGCACACAGAAGGAAUAAAGAAAUCAAAGACUUCAUGGUUAAUCUACAUAAACCAGCACCAGAAACAAACCCUGGGAGGAGACACACUUCUGUAUAAAUCCUAGAGAUGAGAGAGUGACUUUGUGGACCACCAUCCAUCUUUUCCAAUAGUAUCUGCUGAUUGAACAAAAAGUAUUUUCACACCUUCAGAAAAUGCAAAGUGUUCUCUGGGAGAAUAUCUGUUUCCCUGAUGUAAGCCAAAUAUUGUUGUAGGGGUCAACUGAUGCAGAGCUGAUCAGCUCCUUGGGAUAUUCAUGUCAACAGAAACACAGCAGUUCUGUGAACUGACCUUCCUGUGCAGAAGAUUGAACUGGAAUCUUGGAUUUAGCGCCACGUUUUUCAUUCCCCUCCCCCCAUUUUCCUUACCUAAAAAUAAAUAAAUUAAAUUAAAGAUUA